rnacentral:rRNA from 1 species
UACGUAGGGUGCAAGCGUUAAUCGGAAUUACUGGGCGUAAAGCGUGCGCAGGCGGUUUCUUAAGUCUGAUGUGAAAGCCCACGGCUCAACCGUGGAGGGUCAUUGGAAACUGGGGAACUUGAGUGCAGAAGAGAAAAGCGGAAUUCCACGUGUAGCGGUGAAAUGCGUAGAGAUGUGGAGGAACACCAGUGGCGAAGGCGGCUUUUUGGUCUGUAACUGACGCUGAGGCGCGAAAGCUAGGGGAGCGAACAGG